UUAGCCUGCAGAAUGUAGGCAGAGGUGACAUUGCUCAUCGUGUCAACACUGACAAAUCAAGGAGAUGGGGCUCCGUGAUGGUGGAGAGAGGCGAAUCCAGACCUGGCUGAAUGGCCAGAUCCAAAGAGCAGAGCUGCUGCUGAGGUCAAUGCUGCUUUGGAGGGGACUCCUUACAGCAGACCCUCGGAGAUCUAGGGCCAGGACCGGCCCUUCAGCCGCUGCUUGACUGGAGUGGCUGCUGUGUUUGGUCCGGCAGGAGCCAGGAGGAGGCUUCUUCCGCUUCUAAAUCGCGUACCUUUGAUCUCCAGGGAUGCUGCAACUCUCUGGCACCUUGCAUAAGCACCUCUGUUCCAGCGGUUUCCAUCCUGGUGUCUCACAAGUGGUGAGCGCUUUCUUCGGCCAGGACCAGCUCAAUGUAGAGCUUGCUGCUGUGGCAUACCUUCUCCUCGCUUAGACUGGGAGCUCCUGGAAGGCUCUGCUGAUAUGGAGCUUGUCAACUGGCAGUGUCUGACCAGCAGCUCGAGCAUGCUCCUCCUUCAGCUCAUCCAGAAAUGCCAACCCUUCCAUUUGGGUCAGAUCACCAAUAGCUCUUGCCUUGAGCCACUGAAAAAGGUUGGAGCCCCAGAAAUAUGCUCCAGUGGGCGGAAUCCCAUGGCUCAGCUGGCAUCUUCAUUUCCUUAUAUUCUUCUGCCAUGGGGAUCCGCCAUGCUGAAAACUACCAGUACCCAUUCAGCCUCUCCCUCUCUACCUGCUCCUUCCCUACUGCCUACACGCAUUCCCCUGUCUCCCCUACCCUGAAAAGUUCUCACUUGGUCCUUCCAUCUCUACCCUUGCCCUGUAUCUCUCUGUCCUUUGUCACCAAACUCCUGGCAGAGGACGCCUACAAGGGGUGCCUCCUUUUCUCUCCUCUCACUCUCUUCUCAAGCCCUUCCAAUCUGGCUCUGGGUGUCAUCGUGCCACUGAAACAGCUCUCUCCAAAGUUGUGAAGGAUCUCGUGUAUUAAACCCCAAGGCCUCUUCUCAGUUCUCAUCCUCCUAGGCGUCUCUGCAGCCUCUGACGCUGUUGAUCACCCUCUUCUCUCUAGGUUUUCAGGAUAGCCUCUCUCCCGGGUCUCCUCCCCCCUCUCUGACCGCUCCUUCUCUGGCUCCUUGGCUGGAUCCUCCCUCAGAUCUUGCCUCCCACUGUAGGAGUCCCUCAGGGCUCUGUCCUGGGUCCCCUUCUCUUCUCCCUCUCUGCUUCCCUUAGGGAAUCUCAUCAGCUCCCAUGGAUUUAAUGACCGUCUCCAUGGUGCUGAUUCUCGAGUUUGUCUAUCCUGCCCCAGUCUCUGCUGACUUCCAGUCUCACAUCUCCAAAUGCCUUUCAGGCAUCUCGAACUGAACAUCCUCUUCAACUCCACGUGUCCCAAACCAAACGUCCAUCUUUCCCCCUCACCCUACCCCCCCCCACUCCUUCCCUAUUACUGUAAAGGACAACACCAUUCUCCCAGGCCCCCAGGUUCACAACCGAGAUGUCUUCUCUGAUACUAGCCUCACCUUGGUCUAGACCCUCAUCAGCUCACUACUGCAAUACCUGCUGGGCGGUCUGCCUGCUGCUGGUCUGUCCCCAGUCCAGUCUUACAGCCACAAAAGUGAUUUUCCGAAAGUGCAGGCCCAGCCAUGGCACAUGCACGCACACACGAGUGAGACACACCUUCUCCUGACUCCAGGCAUUUUCUCAGGCCUCUUGCAUGCCUGGAAUGCUCUCCCUCCUGGCCUCCCUGGCUCCCCACCCAUCUUUCCAGCUUUUUAAACUUCUGCCCACCCUCAGGCCCCUGUGAUCUGGCCUUCGAUGGGCCUUGUAAUGUGCCCCCUCCAUGAGGGCAGGAACUAUCUUACUUUUUCUAUCAGUGUCCUAACAGCAUAACGCUUGGCACACAGUAGGUUCUUAACAAAUGCUUUUUUCAUUCAUUCAUUCAUCGUGUCCCUGGCAGAGUAGGGGGUCACUUACUAAAACCUGCUUGAUUAUGACUCCUUCUAGGGGUUGACUGGACAUGGCCUGAUGGCUGAUUAGAGGCAGGCGCAGGGAGAGAAAGGAAGGAAUUAAAGGUGCCUCUGGGGUAGCGAGCCUGGGGAGUGGAAAGCCGGGGAUAGCUAAAGAGGCCGGCUUUGGAGUCAGGGGUUACAGUGGGGUCGGGGGGGGGCGGUUAGCCCCAAGCCUGGAUUUCAGCGGACGUUCUGAUUCUGCUGACCCGGGGCAUUUUGGGUCAGCCUUCUAAGAGGUUUCAGUUUCCUCACUUAUACAUUCAGGUCUCUGGCCUCCAAAGUCCUUCUGGACCCGUAUCCUACCAUCUCUUCAGUGUUUCCAUCUUUUGCCUUUCAUUCACCUUGGCAUCCCCAGCCCCCAGGGCAGGGCCUUGAACAUCACCCCAACACAGACCUAAGUUUGAUGAAUGACUGAGGGAGGGAGGGAGUGGAAAGUCAGUCUCUUCUAGGGUCUGUGGCUAGAAUAUUUAGAACCCAGGCCCUUCCUCCCCCUCACCUCCCUGAGGCUAGGGAUCUCCCAAAGGGAAUUUGUACCUCCUGGCUUUUAAACCAAAGUCCAAUUCGGUAUCUCCUCUCACUCCUCAAAUGCAGAUUAAUCUGUGGGUGAUCUGAUUAGAUUACGCGAGGUGGGGGACUUUGGCCUGGAGAACAACCACCAUGGCAUCCUUAUCUAAAAUCAAGUUCAUAGAAGCAUAUCAAUUUCUUUUUAAACCCUGAUAUACAGCAGUGACCAUCGGCUGGCUGGUCCCUUUCCCCUAUUGACCUUGCUUGGCACAGACCCACACCCUGAUGCCUGAUGGACGGGACGCCCAGACUCACCUAGCCCUAAGGGAGCCUGGAUUGCCAGGGCUGAAGCACCAUUUGGCUGUACCUUUC